rnacentral:rRNA from 1 species
GAUGAACGCUGGCGGCGUGCCUAAUACAUGCAAGUCGAGCGAACGGACGAGGAGCUUGCUUCUCUGAUGUUAGCGGCGGACGGGUGAGUAACACGUGGAUAACCUACCUAUAAGACUGGGAUAACUUCGGGAAACCGGAGCUAAUACCGGAUAAUAUUUUGAACCGCAUGGUUCAAAAGUGAAAGACGGUCUUGCUGUCACUUAUAGAUGGAUCCGCGCUGCAUUAGCUAGUUGGUAAGGUAACGGCUUACCAAGGCAACGAUGCAUAGCCGACCUGAGAGGGUGAUCGGCCACACUGGAACUGAGACACGGUCCAGACUCCUACGGGAGGCAGCAGUAGGGAAUCUUCCGCAAUGGGCGAAAGCCUGACGGAGCAACGCCGCGUGAGUGAUGAAGGUCUUCGGAUCGUAAAACUCUGUUAUUAGGGAAGAGCAUAUGUGUAAGUAACUGUGCACAUCUUGACGGUACCUAAUCAGAAAGCCACGGCUAACUACGUG